rnacentral:rRNA from 1 species
GAUGAACGCUGGCGGCGUGCCUAAUACAUGCAAGUCGAGCGAACAGAUGAGGAGCUUGCUCCUCUGACGUUAGCGGCGGACGGGUGAGUAACACGUGGAUAACCUACCUAUAAGACUGGGAUAACUUCGGGAAACCGGAGCUAAUACCGGAUAAUAUAUUGAACCGCAUGGUUCAAUAGUGAAAGACGGUUUUGCUGUCACUUAUAGAUGGAUCCGCGCCGCAUUGGCUGGUUGGUAAGGUAACGGCUUACCAAGGCAACGAUGCGUAGCCGACCUGAGAGGGUGAUCGGCCACCCUGGAACUGAGACACGGUCCAGACUCCUACGGGAGGCAGCAGUAGGGAAUCUUCCGCAGUGGGCGAAAGCCUGACGGAGCAACGCCGCGUGAGUGAUGAAGGUCUUCGGAUCGUAAAACUCUGUUAUUAGGGAAGAACAAAUGUGUAAGUAACUAUGCACGUCUUGACGGUACCUAAUCAGAAAGCCACGGCUAACUACGUG